rfam:Cavia porcellus supercont2_0 genomic scaffold, whole genome shotgun sequence.
AGCCUUGGGUCCAGGAGCCUGACGACUGGGGGUGUGUGCCGUGGUGUGACGUGAGCCCUCCUCAAGCCUUGCUGUGGUGCCAGCACCUGACCCGCCUGACG